ensembl:lncRNA
UACUUUAUUGACCACGAAGGAUGAAGACUAUAGGUGUUUGAGCUUUACUAUGCUCCUGCCCAUGUGCUCUCUAACCCAGGUGUUCGAACCCUAACCCAGGUGUUCGAACCCUAACCCAGGUGUUUGAACCCUAACCCAGGUGUUUGACCCCUAACCCAGGUGUUUGAACUCUAACCCAGGUGUUCGAACCCUAACCCAGGUGUCUGACCCCUAACCCAGGUGUUUUGUGUGUUUAUCAGGUUUGCAUUAUUAAACUCUGUUAGAACUAUGAGGGUUGAGAACCGACUUGCUUAUCCACCUCAGCUGAUACGUUAAACGGGAUGAACAAACCGACUAGA